UAGCUGUGACUGAAAAAUUAUUCCGAAACUAACAUUUGAGGAAUUCAAGAUUGAGACGAACGUCAAAUUUAAAAUGGCAUUAAUCAGGACAGCUGCAAACUCUGAUUUGCGGCCUUUGAAAUGGAGAAGUUACUUCUUGCUUCACUUCAGCAGCAUAGUCCAGCUUCUAAAUUCAGUUCUCAGUGAGAUUAUGGUAGGAUUUCGUUUAGAUUCCGUGGCCCAAUGGGAGUCUCUGCUUUGAUAAGAUUGGGGUUGAUGCCAAGAAAGCCUUUCUACUGUGGACGCCGCAGCCGCCUAGCGCUGUUUUCCAAAAUCCUCUCUCACUUGGGCAUGCUUGAUGAGUGCUGCAGAGCUGCCAUCCCUGAAUCAGAAGAUGUUCAGAAGGAAGAAGGAAGAACAAGAAGAAAAAGAAGAAGAAAGUCGUGGAAUAUCAAAAGCUUUUAGCUUUGUGAAGGUGAUUUGAGAUCAUGUAACAUUUCCUCGCCAGAACCGAAGAUUGCCGUCGCUCAAAGCUGCGUUUCAUGAAACAAGUUCAUCUCCUGCCAAUUUUGUGUACCCACUUUUUAUUCAUGAGGGUAGGUCGACACACCUAUCUGGGCAAUGUCGGGAUGUCUAGGCUUGGGUGGAGACAUGGACUUAUGAAAGAGAUCCUAAACUAUGGCAUCUUCUUCCUCCUCCGCUGCUCCCUCCGUCUCAAAUUUUCUUACGAUUAAGCUCGACCGCAACAACUACCCUCUUUGGCGUGCUCAAUUUCUUCCCUUGCUGCGCAGCCGCAACUUACUCUCUUAUGUUACUGGCGAAACUCAAUGCCCCUCUGCCUUUCUUCUUGAUGACAAUGGUAAAUUCACAGACAAAGUCAAUCCAUUAUAUAAUGAAUGGAUCCAGACUGACGAGAUGAUCCUAUCUUGGAUUACGAGUUCUCUUACUCCCAAGCAGAAGUCGCACUUUGAAGAGUUCGUGCUGCACAGAAAGAUGAUGAAAUGCUACCUGUUGAGUCUAUCAUUGCUCCAUUGGAGACAGAGCUGAAGCUUGCUGCAGGAGUUAUACAUUUGUUAUGCAAUAUGACCCCUUUAAUUUUAUUUUAAAACUGAUACAAAAAUACUACAAAAAUUUAUGUAGUAUUUUUGUAUCAGUUUUGAGUGUCUAUUUUGGCUUCCAUAUUUCGUCUGUACAUGUGAGAGGUAUAGUGUU